CUUGAGAGAACUUAGUUACACCUAUUUGGAAAUGUAAUUUAUACGCUUGUAUAUCUUGAUAUAUAAAGGUUCUCUUCCUAGUUCCCCAUAUACCAUAAAAUUUGGUGUAGAGUUUCGUAGGCCGGCAGCGAGCUUAAGAAAUUUUAGAUGAACUUGUUCAAUUAAGUGUAGGUUUUCAAACCCCCAAACUUCUGAGCCAUAUGUUAAAAUUGGAACAACCAAAGUGUCAAAUGCUGAUGAUAAACAGUCUAGCGGUAAGUU